GACGAACGCUGGCGGCGUGCUUAACACAUGCAAGUCGAACGAUGAAGCCGGAGCUUGCUCUGGUGAAUUAGUGGCGAACGGGCGAGUAACACGUGAGUAACCUGCCCUUGACUCUGGGAUAACUGCUAGAAAUGGUAGCUAAUACCGGAUACGACCCUCGGAGGCAUCUCCAGGGGGUGGAAAGAAUUUCGGUCAAGGAUGGACUCGCGGCCUAUCAGCUAGUCGGUGAGGUAACGGCGCACCAAGGCGACGACGGGUAGCCGGCCUGAGAGGGUGACGGGCCACACUGGGACUGAGACACGGCCCAGACUCCUACGGGAGGCAGCAGUGGGGAAUAUUGCACAAUGGGCGCAAGCCUGAUGCAGCAACGCCGCGUGAGGGAUGACGGCCUUCGGGUUGUAAACCUCUUUUAGUAGGGAAGAAGCGAAAGUGACGGUACCUGCAGAAAAAGCACCGGCUAACUACGUGCCAGCCGCGGCCGUAA
rnacentral:rRNA from 1 species